rnacentral:rRNA from 1 species
AUGGAGCAGCGAGGGAGAGUAGGACGAAUCCUCUCCUUCCUUCUCUCUGAUUCCCUCGUUUUUCUCUUGGUAGGAUUCCAUCUGGAGCAGCAGCUGCCCUCCACGGAUGAUGACAUCACCAUGGACGGAGAUGGAGCAGCUGCAACAUCAACAACUCACCCGAUGCAUGCAGUGCGGUGCGGUGCUGGUGCAGUGCAGGGAGAGGACGACGACGCCCAGCCAUGGAUUUUGAGCAGCAGCAGCAGCUCAAGAAACGAGGCCUAUACAGAGCUAAUAGCAGCUACGCACGAGGCUGUCGCCGCCGGUGGCAAUUGGGGUAUUUCUUCAAACAUGUUGAUGGGGAGCAGUUGGCCCCUCGGCUGGGUUAAUCUUUCUCGGGACAAGGCUGAGUCUAAACUGGUUUGCAGAAAUGAGGCCGGCGGAACAAACAUUGGCUGCGCGCGAGGUUGUCGUCAUGGCUGGCAAUUGGGGUCUUUCGGCAAACAAGUCCAUGGGGGCAGUUGGUGCCUUGGCCGGAUUAAGCUUUCUGUGGAUGGCGCUGAGGUGAGCUUUGAGUAUGAGGUUGGCGUUUUAGAGUUUCAAGUAGUUGUAGCUUCUGUUGCUCCGACAAUCGGUCUAUCUUUUCAGCCUUUGGUCAUUGUGCGUUCGGUAUCCGAUGUGCUAAUGGUGGAUCUCUCACUUGCUGGGAGUAGCUUGACUAUGGACCCCUGUAGAUAUUCAAGUGCUUCUCAUAAGUUUCUCCUGAGUGCACAUGACUUCAUUUUCAUGAAUUCCAAUUUGAAGGCUUUCUGUUGUCCUGUAACAACGUCCACCAUGUAUGUUGUGAGAUAUAUAUCUGAUCACAUUUGA